rnacentral:misc_RNA from 1 species
UAAUCAAGUGUUUUAUGGCACUUUUAAAAUCCAUAUCCACCUUGUGUGCAAUGUCAUCGAUCUUCUGGGCAUGGAGAUCGAUCAAAGCAGUGGUCACCUUUGGAUCUUAUAUAAACUAGGCUUUGUCUGAAAAAUAUUAUGAAUACUAAUUCAAAAUA